AUUGAACGCUGGCGACAUGCCUUACACAUGCAAGUCGAACGGCAGCACGGGUGCUUGCACCUGGUGGCGAGUGGCGAACGGGUGAGUAAUACAUCGGAACAUGUCCUGUAGUGGGGGAUAGCCCGGCGAAAGCCGGAUUAAUACCGCAUACGAUCUACGGAUGAAAGCGGGGGACCUUCGGGCCUCGCGCUAUAGGGUUGGCCGAUGGCUGAUUAGCUAGUUGGUGGGGUAAAGGCCUACCAAGGCGACGAUCAGUAGCUGGUCUGAGAGGACGACCAGCCACACUGGGACUGAGACACGGCCCAGACUCCUACGGGAGGCAGCAGUGGGGAAUUUUGGACAAUGGGCGAAAGCCUGAUCCAGCAAUGCUGCGUGUGUGAAGAAGGCCUUCGGGUUGUAAAGCACUUUUGUCCGGAAAGAAAUCCUUGGCCCUAAUACGGUCGGGGGAUGACGGUACCGGAAGAAUAAGCACCGGCUAACUACGUG
rnacentral:rRNA from 1 species